CCUACGGGAGGCAGCAGUGGGGAAUUUUCCGCAAUGGGCGAAAGCCUGACGGAGCAACGCCGCGUGAGGGAUGAAGGCCUCUGGGCUGUAAACCUCUUUUAUCAACGAAGAAGAUCUGACGGUACUUGAUGAAUAAGCCACGGCUAAUUCCGUGCCAGCAGCCGCGGUAAUACGGGAGUGGCAAGCGUUAUCCGGAAUUAUUGGGCGUAAAGCGUCCGCAGGCGGCCUGAAAAGUCUGCUGUUAAAGCGUGGAGCUUAACUCCAUUUCAGCAGUGGAAACUGUCAGGCUUGAGUGUGGUAGGGGCAGAGGGAAUUCCCGGUGUAGCGGUGAAAUGCGUAGAUAUCGGGAAGAACACCAGUGGCGAAAGCGCUCUGCUGGGCCAUCACUGACGCUCAUGGACGAAAGCCAGGGGAGCGAAAGGGAUUAGAUACCCCUGUAGUCCUGGCCGUAAACGAUGAACACUAGGUGUCGGGGGAAUCGACCCCUCCGGUGUCGUAGCCAACGCGUUAAGUGUUCCGCCUGGGGAGUACGCACGCAAGUGUGAAACUCAAAGGAAUUGACGG
rnacentral:rRNA from 1 species